GACGAACGCUGGCGGCGUGCUUAACACAUGCAAGUCGAGCGAUGAAUUUUCUUCGGAAAUGGAUUAGCGGCGAACGGGUGAGGAACACGUGAAGAAUCUGCCCUCCACUUUGGGAUAACACAGGGAAACCUGUGCUAAUACCGAAUAUUGAAACAUAAGUGGCAUCACUGAGUUUUGAAAGAAUUUCGGUGGAGGAUGACUUCGCGGCCUAUCAGCUAGUUGGUGAGGUAAUGGCUCACCAAGGCAACGACGGGUAGCCGGCCUGAGAGGGCGACCGGCCACACUGGGACUGAGACACGGCCCAGACUCCUACGGGAGGCAGCAGUGGGGAAUAUUGGGCAAUGGAGGAAACUCUGACCCAGCGACGCCGCGUGCGGGAUGAAGGCCUUCGGGUUGUAAACCGCUUUCAGUAGGGAAGAAGCGAAAGUGACGGUACCUACAAAAGAAGCACCGGCUAACUAUGUGCCAGCCGCCGCGGUAA
rnacentral:rRNA from 1 species